rnacentral:lncRNA from 1 species
GUCAAAACUGAAAGAGGAGAGAGUUCAGCUCCUCUGAACCAUCAGUUUUGUUGAGGAGUAUAACCUGGCAGGACCUUUAUCAGGUAGGUUGAUUGGGUUUUGCUUUCACAGUAUUUUGAGAGGGCAGACAAGGAUCCCAGUGAGCACGGAACUCCAGUAAUAAGUGCAGCAGAACUUGACAAAGUAUUCUAGGUGAUGGUGGGAGGGUUCAGGUUGAAUAUCCCUGGUGGGAAAAAACAUGGGUCCACAGCAUAUCUGUCGCAAGAAGAAGCAACAUCUGGAGGGACAGCAAUAAAGGGCUUUGCCUAACUUGAAAGAGUAGUCUCAGUGUGAGCCUGAAAAGGGCAUCUGUGAAUGAAGAUGAAGGGUUUCUUUUCCAGCUGUUGACCUAAUCUUUACUAUUUUCUGUCUACCCGUAGGUACAAGCCGUUCCUCCAGAACACGUGUUGCUGUAUUUGUUGCUUUGAUAAUCCUACUGGCCUUAGCAGUGUGCCUGAUUGUCCUAAACCUUCCAACUGCCAGCAGCUCACCUGGCUCAGAAACAUCAUCCAACACCCCUGAAGAGGCACCUGGUAGGUUACCCUCUAUCAUUCAAAAGAGACUCUCCAGAAGCCUCUUAGGUUGCCAUUUAAGCGAAGGGGGAAGGUGUCUAGAUUGUGUUAAGAAGAA